UACGGGGGGUGCGAGCGUUGUCCGGAAUCACUGGGCGUAAAGGGCGCGUAGGUGGCGGUCCAAGUCAACGGUGAAAGCUCGGGGCUCAACCCCGAGUCGGCCGUCGAUACUGGGUUGCUUGAGCACUGUAGAGGCAGAUGGAAUUCCGGGUGUAGCGGUGGAAUGCGUAGAGAUCCGGAAGAACACCGGUGGCGAAGGCGGUCUGCUGGGCAGUAGCUGACACUGAGGCGCGAAAGCGUGGGGAGCAAACAGG
rnacentral:rRNA from 1 species